ACCGGGAAGCAGUCACCUGGCAGCGCCCCGCGGGGCUAGGGCAGCGGCUCCCAGGCUCCGCGCGCGCCAGCAGCACCUCCAAGGCUUGUUGAAACCAACACUGAGCUCCUCCCCAGAGUGGUGACUCCUUGGAUCUGGGGCUGGGCCUGCGAAGCUGCAUUUCUAACAGGCCGCCAGACCCAGCAACCUGCCCCACCUCCCUACUGAAAACAAGGAGUCUGAUCUCUCCAAGCCUUCCUCCUUGCUCACCUUUUCCUUGACGAAGCUUCAAGUGUCCUGCUCUCCCCCGGCAGCCACUCACAGCACACGGGGUCUCUCAGGAAUCCCCCUGGAAUGAUCUCUUCUGGCUUUGUGUUUUGGAUUCCCUAAUAGACCCUAACAUCCAACCAUUCACCCUCCUCCUAAGGAUGAUGUCUCACUGUGCAAUGGCUGCCCCUGGAGUCACAGGAGGCACAGGUUAUCAACAAUAUACUUCCAAGAAAGAUGUCAGAUCUAAUUCGCUUUGAGGGAACCGCUGAUGGGUUUUCCACAGCAGCGGCAUCAUUCCACAGCCCCAUCAGAAAUGCACUGAGGACGCCAAUUCCUCCACACUAUCACCAAAAUGCACUUAUUUCUAGAAUCAUCCUUCAUUUUACUUCACCAGCACUUUCUCAGUCAAAUUGGUAUCGCUGGCUUAGGAACUAUUUAAAUUAAAAAGAAAAA